CGCGCCGCCACCGCCUGGAAACCCUCCCGCCGACCUCCCCCGUGCCCGGGCGCCCCUUCCCGCCGGUCGCCGCCGCCCCGACGCGCCGCCGUCGCCGCCUCGGCCAGCCGCGGCCGCCCAGCCCGAGCCCAGGCUGUUGUUGUUUGCGGUCUCUUUCCCGCGCCGCCGCCGCUUGGGUCCGCACCCGAGGAGUCCCUCCGACCUCCUGCCACCCUCCUCCGCCGUCCCCGACCUUCCCCGGCCGCCGCCGUGGCCGGAGAAACCCGCCGAGCCCGAGCUUCUCUCUUGCGGGCUCGGGUUGCUCCGCCGACGCCGCCGCCGCUUCUCGUCGCCAACCGAGGUGAGCACGGUGUUCCUCACCUCCCCCGCACCCGCCCCUGGCCCCCGCGCGCGCCGCCGUGCCGCCGGAAGCCGGCCGGAGCAAGGUUGCUCCGGCCAAGCCCGAAAUAGGACUUUGUUUGGGGUGUUUGUUGUUCUGGGCUUUCCGAGCCUCCCCGAUCUCUACGGAAGGGAGCACGAUGAUCCUGGCAAGUUGCUGAUCAUCGUGCUCACCUUGGUUUCUGUCGGGAAGGCCCCGUUCCGCUGUUUUGGCGAUGUCGCUCCGUUUCAGCCUUUUUGGCUGCUGUUUCGGGUUUGUGCUUGUUUUUCCGGCGAUC
rnacentral:lncRNA from 1 species